GCGCGCCAGGUGCGGAGCGGGCGUUGGAAGUUGCUGGCAGUCGGAGGCAGGGGCGCCUGUCACUCGCGGCGAGCGCGGGCGGCGGCCAGGGCGCAAAGUUGAGAGCAGUCUCUAGUCUGAGGCUUUCAGUCGCCCUCCAGUAUCAUCAGUACCACGGACUCCACCUUGCUGCGGCCUCUCAGCAACCCAGUGCACCUGCCACUCGACCAGAGGGAAACCAGUCAGGAGUGGGAGGCCUCUGAACAAACUGUAUUUUGUGUAGUCGCCAGCUUCCAUCUUUCUCCAGGCAGAACGCUGGCCCUCAGCACAUCUUUCUGCUUCCCCUUGGUCAGACCACCAAGAACUGCCACUGUCCUGUCUGACUCCUCCUAUUUUGAUGGGACAGUCUAGUUGCAGGGAAAGAAGCUGAUGCCUCCCACUGAUUCUACAUUAUG